UACGUAGGUGGCAAGCGUUGUCCGGAAUUACUGGGCGUAAAGCGCGCGUAGGCGGUUUGUUAAGUCAGCUGUGAAAGCCCCGGGCUCAACCUGGGAACUGCAGUUGAUACUGUCCGACUAGAGUACGAGAGAGGGAGGUAGAAUUCCAUGUGUAGCGGUGAAAUGCGUAGAUAUAUGGAGGAAUACCAGUGGCGAAGGCGGCCUCCUGGCUCGAUACUGACGCUGAGGUGCGAAAGCGUGGGGAUCAAACAGG
rnacentral:rRNA from 1 species